rnacentral:rRNA from 1 species
UACGUAGGGGGCAAGCGUUGUCCGGAAUCAUUGGGCGUAAAGCGCGCGUAGGCGGCCCGGUAAGUCCGCUGUGAAAGUCAAAGGCUCAACCUUUGAAUGUCAGCGGAUACUGCCGGGCUAGAGUCCGGAAGAGGCGAGUGGAACUCCUGGUGUAGCGGUGGAAUGCGCAGAUAUCAGGAAGAACACCAACGGCGAAGGCAGCUCGCUGGAACGGUACUGACGCUGAGGCGCGAAAGCGUGGGGAGCGAACAGG